rnacentral:rRNA from 1 species
CAGCACCUCAAGUGGUCAGGAUGAUUAUUGGGCCUAAAGCAUCCGUAGCCGGCGCUGUAAGUUUUCGGUUAAAUCUGUACGCUUAACGUACAGGCUGCCGGGAAUACUGCAGAGCUAGGGAGUGGGAGAGGUAGACGGUACUCGGGAGGAAGUGGUAAAAUGCUUUGAUCUCUCGAUGACCACCUGUGGCGAAGGCGGUCUACCAGAACACGUCCGACGGUGAGGGAUGAAAGCUGGGGGAGCAAACCGGAUUAGAUACCCGAGUAGUCC